UUGAAAGACACACGCGGCGGUAUGACAAGCGCAUCAUGCCCGUUACACCAAGUUGCUGAGUUGCUGAGGCCGCCGCCCCCCCUGUACAAUCAGUGCAUCAAAUUAACAGCGAUGAGGUGGCUGCAUUCAUUUGAGUAUUAUCUUGAGGCCCUCGAAGAGGAAGGACAGACACUGCUGAUGGGACAGAUUAGGAAAGUCCCGGUUGAGAAAAUUGGAAAAAGAGUUAGAAACCUUCCUCUAGUCAACGUUUGAACAUUCACAGUCACGUGUAGCUCUUGUUUGUUCCUUGGAAUGAUUCCCCACCUGCCACGUGUGCCUGUUUCUUUAACAAAACAAUGCAGCUACAGAUCCCAAAGAAAUAUGUUUAGCAUUUGCAUCGUGAUUGUUUUUUCCUUUUGACAUUAAAGCGGCGAGAGAGCAGAGUCAGCGUUCCCCCGCCGCGCCGUGUGACCGCGAGUCGUGCUUUUCUGAGGUUUCUCUGCGAUCGUCGUUACGUCUGGCUAAUUGAAACUGACUGAGCGAGGCCACGGUGUGGUGCUACCUGCCAAGAGCUUCAGCAAUACAGCAGCUCAGCUGGUUUAACACAGAUUAUCGCCGGUACCCGGCCUCUUCUCCAUUCUCCAUGAUCCCCUUUUACAAGAACCGACCGCUGACAUGGUCAGGCCACGCUUCACAUGCUUGGAGCGGAACCCUCAUUUUAAUUUAAGCUUUUGGAAAGGCUGGUUCUGAAGAACACCGAUGUGAUUUAAACUGAGUGAGGAUGUUGAGUCUCUGACACCUUCUGCCUCAGGACGAUAAACUCUGUUUGUGUUUUAGUGGUCACAUGCCCUCAGAUCACACAGGACGCACGUCUGGUGGGCUGGAAAGGAGAAGGAUGCAGCCAUGUGCAAUGUCAUGUGGCCGUCUGCAAAUAUAUGAUCCAAUAUCUGUCUGUCUAUGAUUUUUCAUUGGGAGAGCUGCUUUAGCAGUAAUUAAAGCUGCUACUUACUACCGUGACUCAGUUUUUCACCAAUGAGCUCAAGAUUGGAGGUUGAAAGGUUGACUAGUUUGCAAACGGGGGUCACUCCACCUCCCUCUCUGAUUAUGGGGGUUCACCUUAGACACGCGGGUGUCUAUAAGUGGUCAUAGUGAACCUCCCCCAUUUGGUUUGUGGUCCGCUAUUUUGGAACCUCGGGUUUGGCAUUGAGGCCGUUGAGAUAUUUGGAUUUUGGCGAUGGAGACCAUAAACACAUGUUUACUUUAGCCUCGGCUUCAGUUUACAGACGCAGAAAGGUUUGAGUGGAAAAGGCAAAGUGCAGGCGUUUAGAAUCUAAUGAAACUAUAUUUGUGUGGACUGACUGGGGUGAAAGUGAUCGACUCCCAGGCUGCGAUGUGGACGUGGUUGGUGGGGGAAAUAAAAAGAGAAGCAAAAUCUCUUACAGGUUUGCCCUUCGGUGACUUUGUGCCGGAGUGACGAGUUUGUUCCACUUGCUCAGUAGAAGCACUACAUCCAAAAAAUCAAAGUAUAACGGCAAAGUCAAGAAAUAAAUCACUGCCAUAUUAUCAUAUAACCGUGAAUAAGUCACAAAUAAAAAAUAAAAAAGUAAUUUGGGGGGGGCAUUCAUGUGUGCCGGCAGAAAUGAUUUAAACCACUUGAGGACUUGAUGUUACAGAAAAGGAUUUUCUUCUGCGAGCCGGGGAAGUAUUCGUGUAUUGAUUGGAGGCUGAGCCCGAUGGCAGUCUUAAUGCCCCAUCGAUCCGUGUCGGGGCUACUGUAUGUGAACAGGCAGCAUUAAGUGUCAGAUGGAGGUAAUGAGAGGAAACGCUUCGCUGUCAGAUAUGACCUUAUUGCCGGGCCCAGUUAAGAAGGGUCAACGUGUCCGCAGGUUAUGAAUUAAGGUAAAGUCAGUAACCGUUCAGCCAGAAACGGUAGAAACACAUUGAAAAAACCCACAAUAUUGUUUAAAAAAAAUAAUAUAUAUUAAAAUAUGAAUGAAAUACCACAAUCAAUAGCGUAUUAUUGUGAGUGUAUAUUUUAGGUCUGAGAAAACUGUUUUCUGGAAUAUAAUAUGGAAUAACAAGAUAUUUCAUAUUCUAUAUUCCUUAUCUCGCUCUCAUUCCUAUUUGUCCCCAAUCCCCUGAUAUCUUGGGGGCGAUAUUACACAGCUGAGUCUAUCUUUGAAGGAAUCAAGGCAAUAAAAGGCUUUAUUUACCCUUAUCUCAAGCAGACCUCCCCAAAAACUCCACCGUCAAACACAGACCACAACACUUUGAACACGCACCGGCUACCGUCUACUGGCAGGGUUUGGUCUUAUUUUCCUUUUGAUUAAAAAGUCUCAUCGUCAUUGUGCACUGUAUGUUAUUGCGCAUAGUAUGUUACCUUUUUGGAGGGAAUCAUCUCCCAUGUGAGGCUAAUGGAAGGAAAAGAUCGACGAAACGGAAGAAUGAAACUUUUUGUUGCUAAAUCUGGUCUUGCCUCUGACCACUUAAUAAUGAAAAGCAAUUACAGGCAGGCUCAGCAAGGGAGUUUGUUUUCCUAUUCUGCCCUCUUUUUAUUUAUCAAAGAAGGCCACAAGACCUGAUGUCUAGUGCAAGUUUUCAAGGAUAGUUUGGAGCUUUGCUUCAUAUUUCUACUGACCUUCUUUGUGCAAAAAGUGUUUCUGUUGUAAGCGUUGUCAUUUUAUCUGUUUGUAACUUCUGAGGGCAUUUCAAUGCACAAUACUUCUCAUCAUCGUAGCAAUGGGAAAAGGACAAGUAACAAAAAUAAAUCUAAUAAUAACAAUAAUAAUUGUGUCAUCCAUAUAGGUACAUACUUGACAUGUGACCCCUGCAUCUCACCUGUGC
ensembl:lncRNA